UGGUGGGUCUGGGGCUGCUG
rnacentral:misc_RNA from 1 species